rnacentral:tRNA from 1 species
UAGGGGUCGUAUAAUUUUGGAAGUACGCAAAGUUUUGGAUUUUGUAGUAUGGGUUCGUAGCCCAUCCGCCUAGG